GCAUUCAUGGCUGCAGCUCAUGAAUCAAAAAGGAGAAUCAUCCGUGUGGUCUGUGAAUAUCAAAAUAAUGAUCACUUCCUGAUUUAAAACAUAAAACGAAGGAAUUGCUAGCUUCUCCUCGACAAAUUAGGAAUUUGUCUCUCUGUGAGCAAAUGAUAGCCUUCGCACAACAGCUUUGCGUGUAUGCAUCACCUCAAAUAACCUUUUUCCAGUAAAACAUUUUAAACACAUCUCUGGACAAUUCCUGGACUUUUCAAACAGAUUUAUAAUCUGGUUUCACGUCAGUAUAAAUCUCUAGGUUCUACGAUGCGAGUGACCAAAGCGGAUGGCGUCGAGUGAGGACAUUUGAGGUGAAGUCAAACCGGAGUCAUCCAUCAGUACCAGAUCUGCACAGACCUGCACAGCUGCAGCCUGCCUGCUUACCUUUGACCUUGGGUAUAAAGGAAAGCGCCUGCUGUCGGUCACACAGACGAGGAUGUUAUCACCACCGCCGUUAGCCGCAGGGCCGACAGCAACGAAAAUGAGACGCAGAUGUGACGCCUUGUAACCGACGAUGGGAGCGAGAUGCGGAGGCCCGCUGUGUGCGUACGUUGGUUUCCGCGCCCUUUAACUUCCCAUUACAUCCUCAUCUCAAUACGGCACACAAGCCAAGCUGGCCAUUGUUCAGGAGCUUUGAAGGUUAGGGAGCAAAGUCCAUUCGGGGGGGGGGGAGUCAAACUGUCACUGGUGCUACAAUUUAUCAGCUUCCCUUCAAGAUUUACAGCCGUGAUCUACUCCUCUGCACGAGAAUCCACAGACUGCUAUGAAAAGUGAGACGAAAACACACACACACACACACACA
ensembl:lncRNA